GACGAACGCUGGCGGCGUGCUUAACACAUGCAAGUCGAACGAUGAAGCCGGAGCUUGCUCUGGUGAAUUAGUGGCGAACGGGUGAGUAACACGUGAGCAACCUGCCCUUGACUCUGGGAUAACUGCGGGAAACUGUAGCUAAUCCCGGAUACGACCCUCGGAGGCAUCUCCUGGGGGUGGAAAGAAUUUCGGUCAAGGAUGGACUCGCGGCCUAUCAGCUAGUUGGUGAGGUAAAGGCUCACCAAGGCGACGACGGGUAGCCGGCCUGAGAGGGUGACCGGCCACACUGGGACUGAGACACGGCCCAGACUCCUACGGGAGGCAGCAGUGGGGAAUAUUGCACAAUGGGCGCAAGCCUGAUGCAGCAACGCCGCGUGAGGGAUGACGGCCUUCGGGUUGUAAACCUCUUUUAGCAGGGAAGAAGCGAAAGUGACGGUACCUGCAGAAAAAGCACCGGCUAACUACGUGCCAGCCGCCGCGGUGA
rnacentral:rRNA from 1 species